ACACAUGUGACGUCACUUGGCUGAGCGAGAAAGGCACAGGGCCGCUCCGAGAACAAACGCUGAUUAAUGUGGAUUAAACAACGGCUGACAUUAAAAACACCAACGGAAAGACAAGCUAGACGAGGUGGUGAAACACCCUUCAUUGUAUCUGUAGUGGCAAGCAAGAUGCAGAGAGUUUCUGACAGGAAGAUGAAGCGAGCAGACUCUUUUGACUUGGACCAGAGAGCAACCACCUAGUAACCACCCAGAACACCCUAUCAACCACAUAGCAAAGUGGUAAAACGACUCAGGACACCUUAGCAACAGCAUAGCAACACCCUUGACAACCUCUAACAACACCAGUCAUGGUUUCCUAAACACCCCCUGCAUCUAAAAUUGGCCAGUCAAACCGAUAAUGUGGCUGUGUCGCUCUGGUCUGCAACAAGUAACUACACACAUCUUAUUUAAUGA